UACGUAGGGGGCAAGCGUUGGCCGGAAUUAUUGGGCGUAAAGAGCGUGUAGGCGGCCAGAUAAGUCCGCUGUGAAAUCUCGAGGCUCAACUUCGAGCUGUCGGUGGAAACUAUCUGGCUAGAGUCCGGAAGAGGAGAAUGGAAUUCCUGGUGUAGCGGUGAAAUGCGCAGAUAUCAGGAAGAACACCCGUGGCGAAGGCGGUUCUCUGGGACGGUACUGACGCUGAGACGCGAAAGCGUGGGGAGCGAACAGG
rnacentral:rRNA from 1 species